GGAGAGGUAGCGAAGUGGUCGUAACGCGACGCACUCGAAAUGCGUUUACGGGUAAACCGUACGUGGGUUCGAAUCCCACUCUCUCCACCA
rnacentral:tRNA from 1 species